UACGUUAGGAUUAUACGAGUAAACUCACUUGGAACUUACUACGAGUACUCACAAGCUCACUUUUCGUGUGCAACAGAGUUAUGUCUUCUCAUGAAGGUAACCAUUAUCCCGACCAUGCACCGAUCCUACGAAUAGACUCUGCCACUUCCAAAGCCACUGUAACAUCGACUGUGGCAGCCGUCAUGGCCUACUUCAAUACAAAUGACACAAUAAAAGUUGGAAACAAUGUCGGUAACUCCAACUGUAACAACAACCAAAGAAACCAACUAAGAACAACUCACCCAUGCACUAAAAAACCUAAACCUAAGAACAAGAAAUGAAAGUUCAGGAACGAAAAAGGAGUCAGUUCGACUCAGAGGCUUACUAAAAAGAAACAAGCGAGAUUAGUUCCUACCCAUAUUAACCCUACUCCUCCCCCAUCGAGACAAUCAUACCUUGGGAGCAAUCCACCCUGCAACAAGCGAAAUUACCAUCAUUGGGGGGCCUACCAGACAUUUUGUUGCAAAAGGGUGCAACAAGAUGGGGCACAUCUCCCGCUACUGUAGGGCCCCGACCCCAUGAAUCACCCCAAUUCCCAACCCAGAAGUAAGUCAAGUUUGUCACCAGUGCGGUGCAACAGGACAUUUGAAGAGAAAUUGUCCAACAGUGAUGACUGACGAGGGAGUUGACAACUAGACAGGAAGAGACAACAAGAAACCCUACCGAGAUUUUCGGCACGUUUCGAACGACAAACUUUAUAUGACGAAUUUUCCCGAAAAGGUAUUGAAAAUUGAAAACAUAAUAAAAAACUACUCCCCCAGUUGAGCAAAUCUGUAAAUCAUGGAGAAGCUAGCGAAUCCUUACGAAUGGACUAUGAUGGCCCCAUAUAAACGUUAGUAUCAUACGUGGUUAAGAUUCCGCAAACUCAGAACGUGCGAUUCCGUCUUACUUUCUGCCCCUGGGCUGAAUAAUGAGUAGGACAGAACCCCACAGGCAACCAUCUCCAAAGAUCCUAAGAUCUUAAGUACGUACAGUUAGGUCAUAUCCAUCUAUAGCGGAGGGACCUGGCAGAAUUCGGAUUACGAAUUCCAUUGCCUUAUAACAGCACCCUCGUGUCGCUAGGACACCUAAAAAGCAGAGACGAAAUAGACCUAAUGGUAGCAACGAAAAUGAAACUAGCAAUGAUGAGAACACGAACACUAGAACACCUAACAAGCAGAAACGAGAUAGAUCGAAUGGUAACAACGAAAACAAAACUAGUAACUAUAGGAGCAUGAACAUAAAACGCCUUGUCUCCUCAAAUCGAUGUAACAACAAGGAGUCCAAUGUCGUUAGUUGACACGGACAUGCUUGAUCCUCACCUUACAAACCUAGAGCUCUAUCAAUAGUCUUUCUUCCUACUCCACCGGGUAACGAAACUCUUUUAGCUGGUAACGACAAAUCCCUAGUAACCAGACACCUAAGUCCUGGUGUAAGAAUCGCCACACGCCCUUCCUUAGCCCCAACAAAGAUUAAAAAUCAAGGAGCAAAGGGCAUAAAAAGGAAUCCAAAAGGCUUCCAACCAUUCCUCCAGAGAUUCCUAAAAUCUCUUAUAAAGCCUCAACCAUGUGCUAAACAGAGGUAGAAUCACCUCGACUCCUAGAAUCACGUCAAUGACCUAACACCCGACACCACUUAGCACGGUCACAAGAACAAAUGGUGUCUGAUCAUAAGAUCAACAUAUUAUGUAAAGGAAACAUCAGACCCAAUCCCUAAACACAGGAAGCACCUGUCUAACCCUUAAGGGGAGAAAGACGAAAUUGCCAUAGGCACCACCAUCCACGAAUAAGCCAAACAAACCCAUCCUCAAGGAUCGAUACUCCCUACCCCAGAAUCGGAGACAUGUUCAACCAAAAACAAGGGCUGGCAGAGGCCAACCUACCAUUAGCUCGGGAAAACUAUAGGAAGAAAACUCCCCAUAUAAUCGAAGACUCAUAAGUUCAACCACAUCACACACAAACUCAACCUUGGUAACUAUAGCACCAACUCCUAACGCCCAUAAAACUCUACUUCUGGGAUACCCGGAUCCUGAUCCCUAGAAAACCAUUCAAAAGGCCUCGCCAAGGAAAAGCUCCGAUAAACCAUAGUCUCCGAUUAAGCUAAGAGCUCAGUUAAGACAUUUUACAUUCCAUGUAUUCUACACUCAUAAGUGUCGAACCACCAAAACUCUAGAAAUCCCAUAUGUCGAGGUCAAGGUAAAAACAAACCCACACCCCAAAGAGAAGCAUGUGUAGUGGACAUUGACAAGGUUGGAUGCCCACUUGCUUCUAAUCGAGUACUCAUACACCAAAAACUACCACCCGAGCAUGGGAGUUGUAUCCUUCAAGGCCCCCGUUUGGCCGGAAAUGCAGAUCAUCCUAUGUUGGGCAGAGGUGAGAGACACCAAACUGAAAAGAGAACAAACACUCAAUAGCUUACUCCCUAGAUCCAAGAUUACUCACGAAACCACAAGAAAGAUAGUCAAAACCUGAACACGACCCCAAACAUCGUAUAAGUCAACAAUAGAACUAUACAGAUAGCAGGUUAAGGCCUCAAAAUCCCAAGUAGGGAUCAUGGUACUAUUUAAGAACUCACCCCCGAAGAAGAGUAACUCGAAUCAAAAAGAAAAGUGAACUAAACUCCCAAUGCACCAGACCCUUUGAGAUCCUUGUACGGAUCGGCCCGGUAGCCUACCAAAUCCAAUUACCCUCCGAUUUUAGUAAUGCACACCCUGCAUUUCAUGUAUCAAACCUAGAAAGUGUCUAUCGGACAACCCUCCUAGUCCCACUAGACAAGGCUAAGGCGAACUAGAACCUCCUAAUCAUUGAUCCGCCUAUAGAGACAAUGAACGGAAAUGUUAAGAACACAUAAGCAAAGCCACAUCCCAAUGGUGAGGGUUCAAUGGAAACGCUAGGCGUGAACCGGUAUUCACUUGGCAAUUUGAGGACCAUAUAAAUCAAAAGUACCCUCACCUAUUUUCGCAUUCAUAACCGUACCCUUUGAAAGAAUUUCGGGACAAAAUUCCCUCUAACAGGGGAAUGAUGUCACAACUAGCACUUUUGGCUAGGAAAUUCCGUCCUCAGCUAAGCAAGGACUAUUGUGAAACUUGUGCUAACUCACCUAAAUGUUUAAUAUGAGUUCCUAAGGAGCCAUAAAGUGUUACAAUGCAAAUCUCUCCAAGUAUAGUGAAUCUCUCCCAAAUCUCUCCAAGCUUGUGAAAUCUCUCUCAAAUCUCUCUAAGUAUAGUAAAUCUCUCCAAGUAUAGUAAUUCUCUCCCAAAUCUCUCUAAGUGUGCGAAAUCUCUCCAAGAAUAGUGAAUCUCUCCCAAAUCUCUCUAAGUAUGCGAAAUCUCUCUAUGUAUGGUGAAUCUCUCCUAAAUCUCUCCAAGAAAACUAAAUCUCUCCCAAAUCUCCCUAAGUAUGCAAAAUCUCUCCAAGAAAAGUGAAUCUCUCCCAAAUCUUUUUAAGUAUGCGAAAUCUCUCCAAGAAUAGUGAAUCUCUCCCAAAUCUCUCAAAGUAUGUGAAAUCUCUCCCAAAUCUCUCCACGUUUCUCAAAUCUCUCUCAAAUCUCCUUAAAUACCUUCCUUAGUCGAAAACAGCUCAAAACCGGAAGAGGAAACCCCAAAAGGAACCUCUUGGUCCGGAACCCUCAUGGUCCUGAACCUCUUGGUCCGGACUCCUCUUGGUCCGGAACCCUCUUAGUCCGGACACCUUCUUUGGAACCGAGAAGGCUCUCACCUUCAGAAUUCCCUUGCUUCGGAUCUCCUCACUGCUCCGGAUGGUUUGAAUCCGGAAGGCUUCACAUGACUUGCUUCAGACAUCUAGCCGCCUCGCAUCCUCGGUCCGGACUUACCUGAUCUUGCACCCGACUCUGGAGGUGAGCAUUGGCUUCGGAACUUGUCCAGCGCCUUCGGAACCUACCCAGCAGCUUCGGAAUUUACCCAAAUGACUUCGGAAAUUAGAAUCUGACACCGGAAUCCUUCUUAUGCUUCUCGGACCCUCGCAAGAACCAAUCCCCACUCCGAAAUUUCAUUGUUUUCGGACUUUUUCACCAUUUUAAGACAUUUUGACGCCGAAAAUUACACCAUACUUGUAUUUUUCCUAUCCUAAACCCCUUAGACCCCUAUUUUAUGCUAAAAUUAAUUAUUUUAAGCAUAUUCUUCAUAAAAACAAAUGGUUGGGAUUUAGGAAAACCUUAUCCUAAAUCAAGCAAAGGACAAAAGGAUUGACUUUGUGAUUUGAGGAAAUUCCUCACUUCCCAUGCAAAUCACAGUACUCCAUGCUUUACCCCCAAAUAUCCAUGCAUGGACCACCAGAUACCCAUGUACCAAAGAUUCCUUCCUUUUCCUUAUACUCUAAAGCAACGACAGUGUGGGAGUUUAGACUCCACUUUCUCUCACAUUUUUCCCCAUUUUCUCUCAAAAACUCAUCUUCAAGUAAGAAAAGAGGAUCUUGCUGAAAGGAAAUUUCUCAACUUCUUCCUGAGAGAUUUUAAAGUAAAUUCCUCCACUCAUCUAAUAUUUUAUUAUAUAUCAAGAUGAAUCCAUAUUAUCUUAUUCAUAAUAAUAUGUGAUGAUCAUCCUUAGGAAAGUAUCCCUCCCACGGAAGUUCCUCAUCUUAGCCAAGAGUUAAAGCGUGAGAUCAUCACUCCAUAACUCCAAACAACUCCUCAACCAACUCAUGGUGAGCUUCAUACCCCACAUUUUCCAUAUUUUAAUGUUUUUGGGNNNNNNNNNNNNNNNNNNNNNNNNNNNNNNNNNNNNNNNNNNNNNNNNNNNNNNNNNNNNNNNNNNNNNNNNNNNNNNNNNNNNNNNNNNNNNNNNNNNNUUCAAUUGUUAUGAUACUGCGCAAUGAAGUUACCCGCCUCCGGACGUUUCCACCGUUUGGUCCGGGGGUGUGACAGAUUGGUAUCAGAGCAUUGUUUAUAGUGAACUGGUAUAUCUAGCCAUACGAGAUAUGCAACUAUAAAUACAAUGGGACUAAAACAAACUCUGCCUAAAAUUAUACUUUAAGAAUAUAAGUAUUUAUAAAAGUAUACAUAAUUACUAACCCAGUAUCAUAACAAGAAGAGACCGAGAGUAACUAAAGUUUGAACACUACAGUCAAACCUAGGCAGUUAUGUAAUCAUAUCUAGGAUCAAUAUAGCCUGAUCAACUAUAUUUAUUUGAGGUAUGACCAACACGUGCUUGGGUGUGAUGGUGGUGUUGCAACAAACCUAAAACCUAAAAACUAUGCACACAAGAGAAUACUAGAAUUCGAACAUCAAGUAUAAAAUACUAUAGGAGUAUUUUAGGAUACUAUAAACCCCUCACACCUAAACCAUCCCUGUAUAUCUCAAGCCGCGACUCUUGCACAUACGACAUAAUUGAAAUUCCUCACCUAGACUUCUACAAUCCUAUCAUGAUGAUUUACGGAUGGGGCAAGGAGAGACCAAAAGAAUCACAAGAGGAAAAUCCAGAAAUGGAUCCUAGGGGAUACCCAUAGAUGAAUUGUGAAAGGGAGAAUUCCGAUUAAGAAUUCAACAAGGAUAAAAGCGCCAAGGAAACCCUUGAUAAGCUUUGCCCAAAUGAGAGUAAACCCAAGACCCUUUCACCUCUCUCUUCCCAGAUACGUAAACACCCUAGAAACAAAAAGAUACCCACGCAAAAACGAGUUGAGCAAUUGACUCCUACCCGAUUUAGGGCGCAUCUCCACAAAAGACAAUCCGAUCCACAAUCGAUGCGCACCGAACUCCGAGAGCCAACACCCUCGCGGAUCAGAUGACCGUUUGGGUCAAGAGUAACCCGAAUUGAAUCCCAGUUUCCAACCCUCGGUCGUGGAGUAAUGCACACCAUAUGCAAAACCCGGUGUGCAACAGUGUAAAUCCGAUCCCUAACAAGUAACAAGAACACCAUUCCAAAUGCCUUAUGAAACCCACCAGUAGGACCAGAGAACUAUGUAGACCACACACACUCCUUAAAAGAGAAAAGAUGUCAUUUGGAGACCACAACUCAUAGCAAUAAAGUCUAGGACAGCCUUAGCAGCGUAAGGAACACAAAAAUUGCACCCUUAAUAUAUGUGAAAUGGUCAAGCACUUUGUGUGCCAAAAGAGGAUCGCCACACUACUCGCCUUAGGUUCAUAAUGCCCUUAGUCGCAACCAGUAAAAGUGAACCAAGAGGAGUUCAUACUCCAAAAAUCCAUACAACCGAACCCGUUAACCAUAUUGCUAGCCAUGUGCUAUGACGACAGACUUUACAUCAGACAAUACAUGUUCCCACCCUCCACCAUAACUGCAUCAUGGGGAUGUAGGUUGAACCGAUUAACACCAGUACAUUAGGAUUAUACGAGAAAACUCACUUGGAACUUACUACGAGUACUCACAAGCUCACUUUUCGUGUGCAACAGAGUUAUGUCUUCUCAUGAAGGUAACCAGUAUCCCGGCCAUGCACCGGUCCUACGAAUAGACUCUGCCACUUUCCAAGACACUGUAACAACGAUUGUGGUAGCCGUCAUGGCCUACUUCAAUACAAAUGACACAAAAAAAAGUUGGAAACAAUGUUGGUAACUCCAACCGUAACAACAACCAAAGAAACCAACUAAGAACAACUCACCCAUGCACUAAAAAACCUAAACCUAAGAACAAGAAAUGAAAGUUCAGGAACGAAAAAGGAGUCAGUUCGACUCAGAGGCUUACUAAAAAGAAACAAGCGAGAUUAGUUCCUACCCAUACUAACCCUACUCCUCCCCCAUCGAGACAAUCAUACCUUGGGAGCAAUCCACCCUGCAACAAGCGAAAUUACCAUCAUUGGGGAGCCUACCAGACAUUUUGUUGCAAAAGGGUGCAACAAGAUGGGGCACAUCUCCCGCUACUGUAGGGCCCCGACCCCAUGAAUCACCCCAAUUCCCAACCCAGAAGUAAGUCAAGUUUGUCACCAGUGCGGUGCAACAGGACAUUUGAAGAGAAAUUGUCCAACAGUGAUGACUGACGAGGGAGUUGACAACUAGACAGGAAGAGACAACAAGAAACCCUACCGAGAUUUUCGGCACGUUUCGAACGACAAACUUUAUAUGACGAAUUUUACCGAAAAGGUAUUGAAAAUUGAAAACAUAAUAAAAAACUACUCCCC
rnacentral:lncRNA from 1 species